AGAGUUUGAUCCUGGCUCAGAUUGAACGCUGGCGGCAUGCCUUACACAUGCAAGUCGAACGCGAAAGCGGAGCAAUCCGCAAGUAGAGUGGCGAACGGGUGAGUAAUGUAUCGGAACAUUUCCAGUAGCGGGGGAUAACCUGUCGAAAGAUAGGCUAAUACCGCAUACGCCCUACGGGGGAAAGCGAGGACCGCAAGGCUUCGCACUAUUGGAGUGGCCGAUAUCGGAUUAGCUAGUUGGUGGGGUAAAAGCCCACCAAGGCUACGAUCCGUAGCUGGUCUGAGAGGACGAUCAGCCACACUGGAACUGAGACACGGUCCAGACUCCUACGGGAGGCAGCAGUGGGGAAUUUUGGACAAUGGGCGCAAGCCUGAUCCAGCCAUGCCGCGUGAGUGAAGAAGGCCUUCGGGUUGUAAAGCUCUUUCGGUGGGGACGAAAAGGUUCGUGCUAAUACCGCGGACUAAUGACGGUACCCGAAGAAGAAGCACCGGCUAACUACGUGCCAGCAGCCGCGGUAAUACGUAGGGUGCAGGCGUUAAUCGGAAUUACUGGGCGUAAAGCGUGCGCAGGCGGUUUGUUAAGACAGAUGUGAAAUCCCCGGGCUUAACCUGGGAACUGCGUUUGUAACUGGCAAGCUAGAGUGUGGCAGAGGGGGGUGGAAUUCCAAGUGUAGCGGUGAAAUGCGUAGAUAUUUGGAGGAACACCGAUGGCGAAGGCAGCCCCCUGGGCUAACACUGACGCUCAUGCACGAAAGCGUGGGGAGCAAACAGGAUUAGAUACCCUGGUAGUCCACGCCCUAAACUAUGUCAACUGGUUGUCGGGGAAGCAAUUCCUUGGUAACGAAGCUAACGCGUGAAGUUGACCGCCUGGGGAGUACGGCCGCAAGGUUAAAACUCAAAGGAAUUGACGGGGACCCGCACAAGCGGUGGAUUAUGUGGAUUAAUUCGAUGCAACGCGAAGAACCUUACCUGGGUUUGACGUCCUCUGACCGUCCUGGAGACAGGAUUUCCCCUUCGGGGGCAGAGAGACAGGUGCUGCAUGGCUGUCGUCAGCUCGUGUCGUGAGAUGUUGGGUUAAGUCCCGCAACGAGCGCAACCCUUGUCCUUAGUUGCCAGCACGUAAUGGUGGGAACUCUAAGGAGACUGCCGGUGUUAAGCCGGAGGAAGGUGGGGAUGACGUCAAGUCCUCAUGGCCUUUAUAUCCAGGGCUACACACGUGCUACAAUGGUGACCACAAAGAGCAGCAAGACCGCGAGGUUAAGCGAAUCUCAAAAAAGUCAUCUCAGUUCGGAUUGCAGUCUGCAACUCGGCUGCAUGAAGUUGGAAUCGCUAGUAAUCGUAGAUCAGCUCGCUACGGUGAAUACGUUCCCGGGCCUUGUACACACCGCCCGUCACGCCAUGGGAGUUGACAUUAGCAGAAUACAUUGAGCGAACCGCAAGGGAGCAGGUGUGCAA
rnacentral:rRNA from 1 species